GUUCAGAUCCCCACAGCGGGCUGAACUCCCGUUGCUCUGUCCCAGCUCCUGCCAACCUAGCAGUUCAAAAGCACACCAAUGCAAGUAGAUAAAUAGUUACUGCUGCGGUGGGGUGGUAAACGGCAUUUCCGUGCGCUCUGGUUUCCGUCACAGUGUCCUGUUGUGCCAGAAGCAGUUUAGUCAUGCUGGCCACAUGACCCAGAAAGCUGUCUGUGGACAAACGCUGGCUUCCUUGGCCUCAAAAGCAAGAUGAGAGCUACAACCCCAUAGUCAAUUUCAACUAAAUUUAACUGUCCAGGGGUCCUUUACCUUUACCUUAUACUACCUUGUACAAAUGCAGGAACAAUGGGCAUGUGAGAAGGAUCAGUGGCAAUGGGAAGGUUCCUGGAAUUCUAAAUCUCUGGUCUUCAAUUGAUAUGUUGGGACCCACAACCCAAUCCAAGGAGCACAACUACCAUGCAAUUAAGAAAUGGGUCCCCAAUACUUGUUUGAUUUCAAGGCGGGUCCUUGGUCUGAAAAGUUUUGAAGAUACCUGUUUUAAAUCAUGUGAGACAUUGUGCCAGCUACAAUCGUGUUGAAGAAACAGAAACUGAUUCAAGCUGUGUACCAACUAGGAAUGGGUGAAUCUGUCGUUUUUCAUUUCUCUCAGUUUCUACUUUUUUCCAGUCAAGUUCAGUUCUGCACAUUAGUUUUCAUUAAAAAAAAAAUCUUCCUGGAAUUCCUCAGCAUCUUAGUGUGAAUUUCUAUUAAUAUACACAUGUUUGUGUGCAAUUUUGGCUACAUUUUUUGGAAAGCAUUUUCCAAAUUAAUUUUGUGUGUGUUAUUUUUACUAAUAUAUGCAUUUUUUAAGAAAUAAAUUUAUUUAUUUGGAUUUUCAAAUUAAAAUUUUACAGAGAUAUCAAACAUAAAUCAUAAAAACAAGAUUCCAAGGAAUCUCCUGGACUUCCAUCCUCCCCUUUGUAUGUCCUAUUAUUAAUCAUUUCCUCCCACAUCUUUUAUGAUAGUCCAAAUUCUUUACAUCUCCACUGUGUCCAGAAUUCAACCCUACACCACAAGUGGUAUUCCAGUCCUGCUAAUGAUUUUAACUGUUUACAAUGGUCUUCAAGAUAAGUUAUAAAUUUUCCCCAGUCCUUAUUAAAAUUUUGGUCUUCCUGGUUCCAGUCAUCGGCAUAGUCCAUACUAAUAUAUGCAUUUUGAUGGGAUUUUAUUCUUGUUUUAUUUUGGAAGGUGUGACUUAGAGAUGUUAGCCUAUAAAUGUGAACAGAAUCAUAUUUCCUCCCCAUCCCUAGGCACCAUUUGAUGAGCAGCAGGCUACCCAAGAAGGAAUCAAAUUAUCGACAAAGUUUGUAAUGAGAGUUGCAUGGGCAAGUUAUGGUGCCCAAGUUGACACUGUUGAUAGAAAUGAUGGCAUCCGUCUGCCCCUGGAGACAAUGGAAUAGUGUGCCUUUGUGGGUGAAGUCAACCUGCUGGAGAGCUACAGCGCUUGCUGUGGCUGUAGCGGCCAAUACAGCAGAGACAUGUUUUGUUGCAGCUGGGGCAGAUGAAGGCAUCCAGUUGUGCUACUGCAACAGGACUGUCCAUGCCGCAGCUGAUAUCUGUUCUCAACAUGUUGCAUGGGAGCUCUCAGAAGAAGAAAAAUGCUCAAGACUCAACAGCAAAAAUUAAAAGAUACCACAGCUUUUUGUUGGAACUGGGGCCAAACAGAAAAAGACGAUGAAGAUCAAAGAACGCACAUUUGUAAACUCGAUGAAGGCAGAAGAUCUGUGAUUUUGGAAAAUUACGAAGCUUUCAUCCACUUUGUGGAUGGUGUUUCUGGCAUUUGAUAUAUAGGAAAUUCCAGCAUGGGCUUGUUAGCAUUCCAAAGGAAAUCACAAAACCCUCCGGAAAUCAACCAGUUCCAAACAUCAUUACAGAUUGUACAGAAAUAAUGAAGAGAUCUGUCAAAAUAGCCGAGGGUAUGCUUAUUAUUGUGACUUAUCAUUUGCCGUUGCAUUUACAAUACAAGCAAAUGAAAAGUCCCAGAUUUGACAUAAUGUUUGGCGGAUUUGACAUCUGCAUGGCAUGUAUCAAGGCUGCGCUUUUUGGAGAAAUCUGGAGGCAGAAGUUGAAGUGCUUGCUGAAAGAUCACUGAAGGUCUCAGUACAGGUGCCCACUUCAAGAGAUGUAGCUGCAGCUAUAGAAAAUCUGUCCCAGUUGCGACAUGCUUUCAGAAAUAGUCGAGGAGCUUUGCUGUUUUGUGACACGCCUUCAGAAUUAAAGCUCUGACUGAUGAAACGAAACAGUGCAUAUGUGAAAUUCUAAGUAAAACUGAGUCAGGGAUGGAGAAACUCCCCUAUGAGAAAAGGUUACAGUAUUUGGGGUUUCUUAUUUUAAAGAAAAGAUGAGUAAGAGGCAACAUGAGAGAAGUGAAUAAAAUUUUGCAGGGUGCAGAGAAAAGGCUAUAGAGAAAUGUUUUGCUCCCUCUCUCUCUUGGAGUGCGCUGGCAUCCGAUACAGCAGAAUGUUGGAAGGCUUGGGACAGACAAAAGGAAGUAUUCAAUGCAGUGCAC
rnacentral:lncRNA from 1 species